rnacentral:sRNA from 1 species
GGAUAGGGAUCCUGCCUGCACAAUCUGUGUACCCAUUGAUCACCAGGAUUGAUUAGGCUGAUCUUAGUGACCAGGUGGGUGUUCUUUCCUCCCUCACCGUUCCAUGUGCAUCCCUCCCAAAACUGCACUCUCUGCCAAAGGGGACUACCUUCUCUAGUCAAGGAAACCAGUCUUCAGUUAAAGGUAAACCAGUAACUAUACUCCCUUGCUACAACCUCCCCAAAGAAACUCUUAUUAUUCUGAGAAUGGUAAUGGGUGCCCUUGGCUGAG